CGACUCUUUGAACUAACGUUAGUUGACUGAUGCCUGCCUGACUGAAUUUGGAUGUGUGGACUGAGGAACUGGUGCGGUGGGAGGCUGAGGACAGGCUUAUAUCAAAGAACUGGACUGUAACCGUCGAUUUAUGAGUGGCGCAAGCCUGGGGGCUCUCUAGUGCCUGGCUGUUCCAGGAUCACGCUAAAGCGCAGGCGAGCAUAGCGAAAUACAUCGUAAUGAGUGUGUUAGGAGAGAAAGAUGCUCUUGUAAAACAAGUGGACGCAGGCAUCAAAUGCAGCUGGAAUUGGUCGUGGCUUAAACUAGAAGGGAAAAUAAGAGUGAAAGAACAAGAGCUCUCAUUCCAUCUGUCAGAUGUCUUCCGGAAGAUCAAUAAACAAGGAUUCGCACGGUGCAUUCUCUGCCAAAAAGAUAUAAACAACACCCAUACACAUGUUAGUAUUCCUAUCUUGUUUUGCCACUAUUACCCUAUAUUAA